GGGCUACCCCAGUAGAAUAGAAGCUGCUGUCUGGGAGAGGACAAGGGGAAGACUCUGGGCAUGAGGACCCUUUUCCAUUCUCAGUGUGCCAAGGAUCCCUAAGCCCUGCCAGAGAAGGUUCUCCAUUGGUCCCAGAUCAUGACUACUGUAAAUAUCCAAGGCACUGAAGAGGUUUAUUCAUGGCUACCCUGUGCUGAUCCUUCAGCACACCCAGCCAAUAUUUGUCAUUUGGUUCUUUUGUUAAACAUUUUGAGCCAUUACACUGUGCCUUGGUGUGCUGAGAUCUGGAACUGCACAAAGGAAAAAAGACGAUACUCCGACCUCAGACAAGUUUAAAAUCAAUAGAGGGAACAUGGCCAGGUAAUCAAAUAUGCUUCUAUCCUUGAGAUAGGUGUCCUCAAUCAGAUGGAUGAUUAGACUCCUUGUGAAAUCAGAGGGAAAGAAGAGACUUAUGGGGAGAAGAUUCUCACAGGUCCAUUGCUGACAUAGUAGGCAGAUGCUGAAAAGUACCCUGAAUAGGGGUAAUUCUCUCAGGAACACAGCAGGGAAAUGGAUCCUUGAACUUCUCACGACCUGAGUUUUGCACCAAGCUUCUCUCCUGAGAAUGGACAUGGGGAUCAAGUUCAACACAUAGUCAGAGAGGGCGUGAAAGAGUUCUUAGAAUUUGGGACCACUGGCCCUCCUUCCAUGUUACCACCCAGCACCUCUUCUUCGGUAGCAUGAUGGAUGACAGAACUAUUUAUGAACUUCUCAGCCUUCAGCUGCCUGGAUACAUGGAGCACGAGCGUUUUAGUUUUUUACCAGAACUUUACCACUGUUGCCUAAAGAGACAUUGACAAGGGAAUAUGUCUAAUAUUGGUGGGAUUUCAAACAUAAAUAAUUUCAAAACCCGUGUUGUAUCACCCCUACUCUUCAUUCUGUAGCAAAAAGGAUAGGACAUCACUACCUGCUCAGGAAAUGCCUUCGUUCUGCUCCUCCCCUGAUCCCCUACCAGUAGUCACAGGACCUUCUCAAUUUCAUUCAGUUCAGAAAGGUCUUUUGCCCCUUAAUCCAUUCACAGAAGAUGAAAUUAUGUGUAGUAACUUUUUAAAAAUCUUCAAAUCCCGGCUAUAUUCCUUAAAGCUGUGACAAAGUGCUUGAGCCUCAAAAUCCUAUUUUGGAAAAUUGGUGAUGACAAUGUCUACUUCCCAGUGUUCUUAGAAGCCAUUAGGGCUGCCAUAGGCAGCAUUUUUACAUCAGUGCCUAUCAUUGAACUAAAAACAAUUGCUUUACUGAUCCUAUCUAUUUCCCUGAGAUAGUAAUCCUUUGACACAUCAGUUUGUAUUACUGGAAUAAACACUUCAGUGUCCUGGUAUUCCAGUCUUUACUGCCUUCCUCCCUUCCAAUCCAUUCUCCACUAGCUGCCAGCUUAAUAUAUCCAAAUGUUUGCCAGUUUCUUAAAUCAUCAUGGCUGACUGUUUACUCACAGAUUAAGUCCAGGAUCCCUAAUUUGUAUUCUAAGCAAAUCUGCUUUGGCUUCCAUCUUUUCUCCAGUUACUCAGACUUACAAUGCCACAACCACACAGAGCUGAAAGUGGUUUUAAACACACCUGGUAUU
rnacentral:lncRNA from 1 species